UCCCUUCAAAUCCAGUCACAUAUCGCCUAUAUGUGUCUCUGCCGGGCAACCGGCUAUGGCGAUAAAUGGCGUUCAUAAUAAGCGGAUCGGACCCGGGGGCGGUACCCGGCGGCUCCACCAGAUGACCUGAGACCCGAUUGAUCCCGGGUCAUGUGGCGGGGCCGAAACAGGAUCGACGAACGUGUAAAGGCUCGUUUUCGCCCGGAUGGCUUCCGUUAUAGGGCCAUUAUUAUAGUUGCAAAUGACAACUACGAUGAAGAGUUCGCACUCGCAGCGUAAUGCAGCGCGUGUAACUCGCUUUUAAAGCCCAGUCCUCUUAUCAAGGCCUGGCGGGGCUACCGGGAGCCUGGCAACAGAAUCCCGGCCUU
rnacentral:tmRNA from 1 species